rnacentral:lncRNA from 1 species
AACCGAAUAACCAUGACCUGGCCCACUCAUGCCUUCAACAAUAAUAGAAAAUCCCUCAACGGGAUUCAACAACCCUCAGAACAAUAUUUAGUCGUAUAAUUCCAACAAACCCGACAACAGCGAAACCCCCCAACCAAAUCGACUUGAACCAACUCCGGCAACGGUGAAACUAGACUCCAACCCAUUUUCUUUUUACCUUCAUCACGCAUUUCACGCAUUCGUAGGACGAGAAAACCCUCAAAAUCUUCUAGAAUGAGUCCAGGUGUCUCCCUCAAUGGCUCAAUUCCACAAAUCUCAGGUAUAGGGGUAUGAUUUCGUACCUAUUGUUACAAUUUCAUUGGCCCUUGGUAAAAAUUCAUUUUUCCUAAAUCUUAUUGGUCCACCAAUUUCAAAAUUUUGGAGAAAAAUAACAAAAUUGGUACAAUUUGUUAAGGGGAAAUCUUAUCUUGAGUUGAAAUGGGGAAUUUCUUUUUAAAAUUCCCUAAAUUGCCCCUGUGUGGCCUCUUAUCCCACAUCAGUGGAGCAUUUGGGAGGGGGAUCUUCUUGCUUUAUAAAUAGCUCUCUUUAGAGUAGGAAAAGGGUUGGAAAUUUUAGUGUGAAAAAAAAAAUCUGAGAAAAGUUAGGUUCGGAAAGAGAGGAAAAAUGGGUUUCAUGAAAUAGUAACUUUUGUUUAACAAAGAUUUUAGGAAGAAGCGAUUAGCUAGCAGGAAAUUUACGGAACGACAUCGAGUUUUCCGGUGGUGUUGGAGUUCGAUGUUAGUUUAUAGUCCUGUUUUGCCGCUUCCGAAUAGGUAAUAUUUCAUUUUAUUUGAUUUUUUGAUUAUUUCUUCUUUGUCUAGACCUUCUGUAGUUUUGAGUAAAUUUUUAAUAAUAUUGCAUGCUGGGUUGUCAGUUGUAGAGGCCUUAAAGGUUAUAGGUUUCUCUGAGUGAAGAAAGUGUUGGAUUUUUAUUACAUUGUAUUAAUGCUGGUUUCAAGUUGAUUAAUGGGAGAUUUUUGUUAUCUCUACCUCGACGUCGAUUUUGUCAUUUACGAUUGAUUUUGCUGGCUACCGCUUAUGUUUUGAAUGCUAGUUUCAUAUCUAAAGUUUCAUACUUUGAUUUUGUUUGGUAAUUUAGGGCUGCUGGUAUCUUGUUAAGGCUGAUUUUGUAGUUAAAGUUUCAUGCUUCGAUCUUGAUUAAUCAUUUUGGGCUAAUGGUACGUUGUUUUGUCUUAUUUCAUAGUUUAAAGUUGCAUGCUUUAAUGGUUGUCGGGCUGAUGGUGUCCUAUUAUAGUUGAUUUUAAGUUAAAAUUUUGGGUCUUAUUAGUUUUGGGCAAAUAGUAUCUUGUUAUGCCUGAUUUCGUAGCUAAAAGUUUCACGUUUUAAUAGUUUCGGGCUGAUGGUGUCCUGUUAUAGCUGAUCUUAGGUAAAAGUUUCAUGUUUUAAUAGUUUCAGGCUUAUUGUAUGUUGUUAUGUUUGAUUUCAAGGUUUAAAGUUGCAUGCUUUAAUGGUUUUCGGGAUGAUGGUGUCCUGUUAUAGCUGAUUUUAUGUUAAAGUAUCGUGUUUUGUUAGUUUUGGAUUGAUGAUGCCUUAGUAUAGCUGGUUUCAUAGUUAAAGCUUUUUGCUUUGAUCAUGUUUAAUAGUUUCGGGUUGAGGGUGUUUUGUGUGUAUUUGACGUCAUUUGUGGUCAUUAGUUGAUGUUGUUGAGCUGGUAACGUCAUUAACCGAACUUUCUCUUGAGUUCGUUGUCUUCUCAAAUGACAAAGAAUAACGAGGAUAUGUCUGAUAAAACUAGCAAAUCCCAUGAUUCCUCGAUGACCAUUUUGGCUAUUGAAACUCGUUUUGAGUUUGUCGAAAAGGGGAAAAGGUUGAUAAGAGUGCCCAGCCGCAUCCCCUCUUGAUUUAUUUUCUCUGUCUUCUCAUGUGCGGGUGGGAAUUUCUUUGAAAGUAAAUAAAAUAAUGUGUUAUUUCAUGUAACUGAACAAGUUGUGCCUUAUGACAGAAUCUCUGAAGUUUGUUAUCCAUUUUUAUUCAAUUUUAUGCUUCGUAAAUUCCAGUGAAGAGUCAUUCUCUCCUUUCUCUGGUUGGGUACUACUGUUAAGCCAGAAGGAUCAUAGUAGAUUGUUUCUGAAUGGCGUAUCUUCUUGUUUUGUUCUUGACUCAUUUGUUCGCGAUAUUAUUAGUGUAUAAUAUAGAUGGUGGAAUUAAGACAUUACCAUUGCAAGAAACUUCAAAUUGUAUUCUCAGUGAGAUGUCGAAGUUACAGAAGCAGAUGGGAUAUCAUAUCUUCAUUUACUACAUUUUUAGCCUUUAUGGCUCAUCUCCAGAUAUUCAGUCAAAGUUAUGCAAAGUUUAGAAUAAAUUUUAUGUGAAGUUAUGUACUUCAUUAACCAUCUUCCUAUGUGAAUCAAUAAUAAAAACGAAUAUGUAGCUGAUGUCAUUUUUCCUUAAAAGACUGAAAAAAAACUCUAAUAACAAUAUUAAUUUUGGUUGGUUUCUUAUUGCAAUAUUGCUUUUAUUUAUCUCAAAUUCUAACUGUGUGAAUCAUUGAUUGGUGCUUGACUAUCUUUUUAUGGUACUAUGAAUCCUUUAACAUGCUAACUACCAACCUGAAAUAUAUAUUAAUUCAUAUAUUUUUCUUUUCUUCGCAUUAAUCCGCCUUGGAGUCCAAACAGGCUCUUUUCCCUUGCAUUUGUUAAUGGGCCAAUAAAGGCCCAUCUCAUGGAGUCAAGCCCGAAGUUCUAGGUCCAAAAGUGAUCCCAUGGCGUAUAGACACGAUGAGUUGGAAGAAGAAAGGCGGGUUAAAGACCCAUAUUUAAAGCGGCUAAGAGACUCAAAAGUCUCAUUUGUUGUUUUAUUUAUUUAAGUAUUGUUGUCUUUAUUUAGUUUAUUUAUUUAUUUAUUUAUUUAGGAAGGGCUGGAAGAUGCGAAUUACGACAGAGGAUUAGGGCCAGUUCGGGUCGCUAGUGUAGGGAAUUAAUUGGUGGGGGUGUAUUCCUGUUAUGAUUCUGUAUUCAGUGUUUCGUGUUCCGUGUUCCAUGUUUAUUACGAAUCUGUGUGCUUUCCUCUGCUUUAUUAUUCCUGCAUUCCUACUUUACUCUGUUUUAUAUUCCCUAUGGGUGCCGUAUCUAUGUUAUGUCAUCUGCUGCUGUGCUGUACUAUGUGUUUGUGUGAUAUCUCGUGACUUGAGCCGGGGGUCUUUCGGAAACAGCCUUUCUACUUCAUCAGAGGUAGAGGUAUGGACUGCGUACAUCUUACCCCCCCCAGACCCCACUAAGUGGGAAUACACUGGGUUUGUUGUUGUUGUUGUUGUUGAUUUAUUUAUUUAUUCAUUCGGGCUAUGAAGCCCAAGUUGUAUUUAAUACAGGUGGAGCAGAUUUUGGGCCAACGGGCCUGAAAAGAAAAAUAGUUUAGGACAGGUGCAAAUGGGCCAAAAGCCCAAUUAGGGUUGGGCCCAAUGGCCUAAAUUUUUUACUUUCUCCUCCCUUUCCCCUUUUACGUGUUUAUUUGUUUAUUAAUUUUAUUUAGACUUAGUUAAAAUCCCUACUAAGACACAUAAAUCUAUUUUACACAAGUCUUUUCUAAAAAAAACUCAAUCACUUAACAAAUUAAUAUUUUUGGAAGUUAAUCAAAAGAUGUUUUCAAAUAGUCCAGAUAACCGCAAAUUAGCGGACGUUUUAGGUGUCUAACACCUUCUUAAAAUGUUAAUAGCCGCUUACUCAGGAUCUUCAAAACUUAAAUGAUUUUUCUGUUUUGGAUCGUUUAAAGGUUUUUUAGUUUUUUUUCAAAAUUAAAUGGAGACUUUGAAAGUCAAAUUUUCGCAAAAAAGAAAUGGCGAUUCUGCUGGGGAUAUUUAACUAGGCUUUAACCAAAUGUUUGAUUUCGUCUUUUGAUUAAUUGUUUACAUGUUUAUAUGUUUCAAUUUUGCGGUAUUUAAUUAUUGUAUCUCAUAGCAUAAUCCUGCAUUGAUUUAUUAAAUUAUUUUAGGGUUUCGUGAAUGUCUCAGCUCCUGUUGUUCAAUUCCAAAUAAAGUGUUGGAAAUACGUUGGUUUAUUAGCACGUGAGUCAUCUGAUGGCUGUCGUAUUUUCAAACACAAGUCGUCCUCUUAGGAACCUUGUUCAAAUCCACUCUAGACACCUAGGAUAAAGCAAAACCAAAAUUCUAUUUUAGGUAUGAGCCUAGGACGACCCAAUACUUGAGGAGGUAUUGGGCCUAUUAUAAAAUUUGUCCUGUGUCUAUUGACCUCGAGUCAAUUACAGACGAAUCAUAUUUAUGUAUUGAAGAAAUUUAUGUUUAUUUAAUCCAAUCCAUUAUCCUUUGGGGGUUGGGAAAAAUCUUGCUUACUUUCGUGUAAGGAUGCCUUAAUCAUACACUAAUUGAGAGAGGAAUCGAAGCAAGUCAAGCAAGAAAUUAAUCGAUUUGGGCGGUUGCAUCCAAGGCAUAGCCAUACGAAAAUUUCUUGAUCAUCAAUAGAUGUCGCCAAUGAUAAGAAGUGGACAAAGCUAAGAAGGACAAGGCCGACAGAAGAAGCAUUCAGGAGUUAGUAUUUCUCAUCCCCUGUGCGGGACAUCAUUCUUUUUCUCAUGUUAUUUUCCUUUCCCUAAAGAUUGUACCCCUUUUGUGCAACUUUUAUAGGCAUUUAUGUCAUUUAUCUAUAUUUAUGAAAUUGGGGGAUAAUGGAUUGGCUUUAAAAAAAAGCAUAUAUUUUCUUCAAAGUUCGUCAGGCCUAACCCUUGGCUCAAAAGGGUCACCUUAGUUAGGAUACGUGUUAUUAUAAUAUUUUUAUGCGAUAUAACCACCUUAUGUGUUUAUGUGCAUUUAUUUGAAUCAAAGGCAAUUUUAUCCACUAUGCUCAUGUGGAUCACUUUGGCUAUGAAAAACAACUCUAUGUGUUUAUUACUUGUCAAGUAUCUUGCAUUACUUAUCACAUAUGGAAACUAACACAUCUGUCUUUGAGUUAUUUUACUUUACAGAUAAAAGAAAACUACUCCAUGUUGAAAUAAGCUGGCAGAACAUCCUUACUUCACCCCGAUCAAAAGCGCAUAAGAUCCCAUCCCCUAAUCAUUCAAACAUGACUGGGAGUGGCGAAGAAAAUGCAUUGACCAUUAGGGACAAUGUAAUAGUGGA